rnacentral:tRNA from 1 species
GAGAGAUGGCUGAGUGGUUUAAAGCAACGAUUUGCUAAAUCGUAACAUUAACAUUAUAUUUAAAUGUCAUGGGUUCAAAUCCCAUUCUUUCUA